ACGCACGCUGGCGGCGUGCUUAACACAUGCAAGUCGAACGGUGAAGCGCCUUCCUUUUUGGUGGGUGUGGAUGAGUGGCGCACGGGUGAGUAACACGUGAGUAACCUGCCCCCUUCUUCUGGAUAACCGCAUGAAAGUGUGGCUAAUACGGGAUAUUCUGGGUCUGUCGCAUGAUGGGUCUGGGAAAGAUAUUGUUUCGGUGGGGGAUGGGCUCGCGGCCUAUCAGCUUGUUGGUGGGGUGAUGGCCUACCAAGGCGGUGACGGGUAGCCGGCCUGAGAGGGUGGACGGUCACACUGGGACUGAGACACGGCCCAGACUCCUACGGGAGGCAGCAGUGGGGAAUAUUGCACAAUGGGCGCAAGCCUGAUGCAGCGACGCCGCGUGAGGGAUGGAGGCCUUCGGGUUGUGAACCUCUUUCGCCAGUGAAGCAGGCCUGCCUCGUUUGUGGGUGGGUUGACGGUAGCUGGAUAAGAAGCGCCGGCUAACUACGUG
rnacentral:rRNA from 1 species